CCAGACUCCUACGGGAGGCAGCAGUGGGGGAUAUUGCACAAUGGGGGGAACCCUGAUGCAGCGACGCCGCGUGGGUGAAGAAGCGCCUCGGCGCGUAAAGCCCUGUCAGCAGGGAAGAAGCAAGACGGUACCUGACUAAGAAGCCCCGGCUAACUACGUGCCAGCAGCCGCGGUAAUACGUAGGGGGCGAGCGUUAUCCGGAUUCACUGGGUGUAAAGGGAGCGUAGACGGCCAAGCAAGCCAGGGGUGAAAGCCCGGGGCCCAACCCCGGGACUGCCCUUGGAACUGCAUGGCUGGAGUGCGGGAGGGGCAGGCGGAAUUCCUGGUGUAGCGGUGAAAUGCGUAGAUAUUAGGAGGGACACCAGUGGCGAAGGCGGCUUACUGGACAGUAACUGACGUUGAGGCUCGAAAGCGUGGGGAGCAAACAGGAUUAGAUACCCGAGUA
rnacentral:rRNA from 1 species